CCUACGGGUGGCUGCAGUAGGGAAUCUUCCACAAUGGGCGAAAGCCUGAUGGAGCAAUGCCGCGUGUGUGAAGAAGGUCUUCGGAUCGUAAAACCCUGUUGGUAGAGAAGAAAGUGGUUGGGAUUAACUGCUUACGAUUUGACGGUAUCGAACGAGGAAGCAACGGCUAACUACGUGCCAGCAGCCGCGGUAAUACGGAGGGUGCAAGCGUUAAUCGGAUUUAUUGGGCGUAAAGUGAACGCAGGCGGUUGUUUGAGUCUGAUGUGAAAGCCCUGGGCUUAACCGGGGUAGUGCAUUGGAUACUGGUCAACGAGAGUCGAGUAGAGGAGAGUGGAACUCCAUGUGUAGCGGUGAAAUGCGUAGAGAUAUGGAAGAAGACCAGUGGCGAAAGCGGCCCUCUGGUC
rnacentral:rRNA from 1 species